rnacentral:rRNA from 1 species
CGUGCAGGCGGUUCGAUAAGUUGGAUGUGAAAGCUCCUGGCUUAACUGGGAGAGGUCGUUCAAUACUAUCGGACUAGAGGAUGGUAGAGGGAGGUGGAAUUCCGAGUGUAGUGGUGAAAUGCGUAGAUAUUCGGAGGAACACCAGUGGCGAAAGCGGCCUCCUGGACCAUUUCUGACGCUCAGACGCGAAAGCUAGGGGAGCGAACGGGAUUAGAGACCCCGGUAGUCCUAGCUGUAAACGAUGUAGACUUGGCGUCGGUGGGUUCAAAUCCAUCGGUGCCGUAGCCAACGCGAUAAGUCUACCGCCUGAGGACUACGGCCGCAAGGUUAAA